CAGCUGGUGAUCGUUGGUCCCGGC
rnacentral:piRNA from 2 species